AAAUUACGUAAUAAAAAUAAUAGUCUAGGGUAAAUCUAAGGUUAAAAUAUUAUAUAAUUUAAUCCCUUGAUGGAUUUGAGAUUUAAAUACUUUAAAUAUUAUUAAUUAAAUAAUAAAGGAUAAUUAUCAUGUGAAUUUGCUGAAUUUGGUCUUGAAAAUCACAUGGAGCAUGUGGAAAAAAGGAAUCCAAAAGGUAUGCCAUCUCUCCCCUGCCCACACACACA
rnacentral:lncRNA from 1 species